rnacentral:rRNA from 1 species
UGGCGGACGGGUGAGUAAUGUCUGGGAAACUGCCUGAUGGAGGGGGAUAACUACUGGAAACGGUAGCUAAUACCGCAUAACGUCGCAAGACCAAAGAGGGGGACCCUCGGGCCUCUUGCCAUCGGAUGUGCCCAGAUGGGAUUAGCUUGUUGGUGGGGUAACGGCUCACCAAGGCGACGAUCCCUAGCUGGUCUGAGAGGAUGACCAGCCACACUGGAACUGAGACACGGUCCAGACUCCUACGGGAGGCAGCGUG